rnacentral:rRNA from 1 species
AGCGAACGCUGGCGGCAGGCUUAACACAUGCAAGUCGAGCGGCCAUCCUUUUGGUGUUAGCGGCAGACGGGUGAGUAACGCGUGGGAACGUGCCCUUCGGUUCGGAAUAACUCUGGGAAACUUGAGCUAAUACCGGAUACGUGCGAGAGCAGAAAGGUUUAUCUGCCGAAGGAUCGGCCAGCGUCUGAUUAGCUAGUUGGUGAGGUUAUGGCUCACCAAGGCGACGAUCAGUAGCUGGUAUGAGAGGAUGAUCAGCCACACUGGGACUGGGACACGGCCCAGACUCCUGCGGGAGGCAGCAGUGGGGAAUAUUGGACAAUGGGGCAACCCUGAUCCAGCCAUGCCGCGUGAGUGAUGACGGCCUUAGGGUUGUAAAGCUCUUUUCUCCGGGACGAUAAUGACGGUACCGGAGGAAUAAGCCCCGGCUAACUUCGUG